GACAGAGAUUCCCAAGGGAGUGAGAAAUCUGGAGGUCCUGAAAGAAAACGGAUGAAGUGUGUUUGCACCUGGUUUUUCAGCUGGAAUGCAUGGAUGAUGAUGCACAAGAUGCACCCCUGCUACGGGAUGGGCUCCUGAGAGAUGCAACUUUGUGGCACCUGUGAAACAAAAUAAAAGAAGAAAGAGAUGUACUUUGAAUUUGUGGAAGUAUUGAUUAGGGAUUUAAAUGAAACAAUGGAAAGAGUGACAAAAUAUAAGCAGAAGUGGAAAAAAAAAAUGCCAAAAGUGUGGGAAAUGAAAAACAUGCAACUUUUUAUUGUAAAUCUUGGCUUGUUUGCAUUAAUUCCAUUUGCAUGUAAGUAUUUGAUGGCCAUGGUAAUACUUGGCUAUUCAGUGAGAGUAAGGCAUAUGAAAGAUGAAGUUUCAAGAGCAGAGUUUUCUGUGCCUGGCUAAACUUUUGUACUUAUGGUUCAGGAGAGUAUAGCUUAAAUAUGUAUCUUGUAAGAGGACAUCUGUCUCAAUAGUAUGAAUAUUCUUAAUUGAUAUUAGCAACCCAUUUGUCAUUUGACAGCUGCCUCCAGGCUCAUAGGCUUUUAUCUUGGAAUCUGUAAAGAAUAUAGAAUGUUGUUUCACAGGGCUUGUUUUUCUUUCAUGCUCUGUCAAAAGUUUGAGCUGCAAAGCAUUUUUUAAAGCCUAACGAUUACUGCUUGUUUGUGUAUCUUUUCCAUUUCAUCAGCUUUAAGGAAGUAGAACUUUCCGAAAGGUCAGACAACAGUUCAGAUUUUUGUAACCUUGAUAGCUUCUCUGCCAACCUUUUCAAAAGAUACUUGCCCGAAUUUGUGUCUCUAAUUAGUGUAAUAUCUAUUUCUUGUGGUUGUUCAGAUCUAAUGCCAGGAAGGCGUUAGAUCCUAGUGUCUUACCUCAGAGAGGUAGAGGAUCCUAACCUCAUUUUUCUAAUCCUGCUUUAAAGAACUUCUGUAACAUAAAAAUUACUUUUACUGCAUUGACCUUCCAUAAGGAAAGAGCUGCUACUGCACAGAAAUUUGUGUUAUCUU
rnacentral:lncRNA from 7 species